UACGUAGGGUGCGAGCGUUAAUCGGAAUUACUGGGCGUAAAGCGUGCGCAGGCGGUUUUGUAAGCCAGAUGUGAAAGCCCCGGGCUUAACCUGGGAAUGGCAUUUGGGACUGCAAGGCUGGAGUGUGGCAGAGGAGACUGGAAUUCCUGGUGUAGCAGUGAAAUGCGUAGAUAUCAGGAGGAAUACCGGUGGCGAAGGCAGGUCUCUGGGCUGACACUGACGCUCAUGCACGAAAGCGUGGGGAGCAAACAGG
rnacentral:rRNA from 1 species